GCCUGGUGGCUCAGUCGGUUAAGCGUCUGACUUCGGCUCAGGUCGUGAUCUCACAGUUCGUGAGUUCAAGCCCCACAUCGGGCU
rnacentral:tRNA from 1 species